rnacentral:rRNA from 1 species
UACAGAGGGCUCAAGCGUUGUUCGGAUUCAUUGGGCGUAAAGGGUGCGUAGGCGGCGCGGUAAGUCGGGGGUGAAAUCUCGGGGCUUAACUCCGAAACUGCAUUCGAUACUGCCGUGCUUGAGGACUGGAGAGGAGACUGGAAUUUACGGUGUAGCGGUGAAAUGCGUAGAUAUCGUAAGGAAGACCAGUGGCGAAGGCGGGUCUCUGGACAGUUCCUGACGCUGAGGCACGAAGGCCAGGGGAGCAAACGGG